GACGAACGCUGGCGGCGUGCUUAACACAUGCAAGUCGAACGAUGAAGAAAAGAAUUGCAGCUUCGGCAGAAAUUCAUUUCGGAUUAGUGGCAGACGGGUGAGUAACGCGUGAGCAACCUACCUCUUACAAAGGGAUAGCCUCGGGAAACCGGGAUUAAUACCAUAUAACAUUGCGACGAGGCAUUUCGAUGCAAUCAAAGCUACGGCGGUAAGAGAUGGGCUCGCGUCCCAUUAACCAGAUGGUGAGGUAACGGCUCACCAUAGUAACGAUGGGUAACCGGCCUGAGAGGGUGAACGGUCACACUGGAACUGAGACACGGUCCAGACUCCUACGGGAGGCAGCAGUGGGGAAUAUUGCACAAUGGAGGGAACUCUGAUGCAGCGACGCCGCGUGAGUGAUGAAGGAAUUCGUUUCGUAAAACUCUGUUCUAUGGGAAGAAAAGGACUGUACCAUAGGAGAAAGCUCCGGCUAAAUACGUG
rnacentral:rRNA from 1 species